rnacentral:rRNA from 1 species
AACGGAAAGGCCCUGCUUGCAGGGUACUCGAGUGGCGAACGGGUGAGUAACACGUGGGUGAUCUGCCCUGCACUUCGGGAUAAGCUUGGGAAACUGGGUCUAAUACCGGAUAGGAGCCAUCUUUAGUGUGGUGGUUGGAAAGUUUUUUCGGUGUAGGAUGAGCUCGCGGCCUAUCAGCUUGUUGGUGGGGUAAUGGCCUACCAAGGCGGCGACGGGUAGCCGGCCUGAGAGGGUGUACGGCCACAUUGGGACUGAGAUACGGCCCAGACUCCUACGGGAGGCAGCAGUGGGGAAUAUUGCACAAUGGGCGCAAGCCUGAUGCAGCGACGCCGCGUGGGGGAUGAAGGCCUUCGGGUUGUAAACUCCUUUCGCUAGGGACGAAGCUUUGUGUGACGGUACCUAGAUAAGAAGCACCGGCUAACUACGUGCCAGCAGCCGCGGUAAUACGUAGGGUGCGAGCGUUGUCCGGAAUUACUGGGCGUAAAGAGCUCGUAGGUGGUUUGUCGCGUCGUCUGUGAAAUUCUGGGGCUUAACUCCGGGCGUGCAGGCGAUACGGGCAUAACUUGAGUGCUGUAGGGGUAACUGGAAUUCCUGGUGUAGCGGUGAAAUGCGCAGAUAUCAGGAGGAACACCGAUGGCGAAGGCAGGUUACUGGGCAGUUACUGA